GUGGUUGCAAAGCACUCGCUUUGAACCUUGAACAUAACCUGUUUAAGAUGUCUCUUUAGUUAAGUUGCAGAACAUUUCCUAGGAGAAAAGAAAAUGCAAAAUUAUGAAUUUCUUAGCUAUAAUACUGAACAAAAUUUCAAUCACUGAUCUUUGACACUUUUAUUCUAUCCAUUAUUUAAAGUGGUGUUUUAAAAAAAUCAUCCUUGUUACUUCAUAUUGCAGAGAAUCCAGUAAGUUUACUCUCUGUUCUAGAGGAAGCAUUUUCUUUUGUUUAGUGAACCUUACUUCCUUUGAGUAUCAAAGUGGUACACAUUUCUAAUGCAAUAAUACAUGAUAACUAAAUCUGUCUUAUCCUUUCUCUUCAGAAUCGGAAAUAUGUCACAUUGCGUUUUGGCCUCACCAAACCAAAGCCUCAGUAGGACUUAGGGCCACGAAGACAACUAGACUUGCUGUAUUUACAGAAGAAGUACAGGAAUGGAUCCUGGAUCCUGUUCCAGAAUGGCUUGCUAAUAUGAUAAGAUCAACCAAACAGAAGCUGUGCAGUUAUUUAUCUAUGGGAAUCACCCCCACAAACUAAUGGAGAGUGAAGAUUUCAGAGAUGUCGCAAAUCUCCUGCUUGUACAUUACUCCUGAAAGGUAAAUGGAUAUAUUGUUUGAUUUUUUUUUUUUUUUUUUUUACUAUUUAAAUGUAUUUGAGAACUAAGAGAUUGGAUGUGUAAGAAUAGAAAGGUAAACUAUCUGUAAGGAUCCUGACAAGCGGGAGGUGAAGCAAGAGGAGAAUGUUCCUGCCCUCUAGCCUCCCCUGCCCUACUCUGCCCAAGGGUUGGAACAGACUUGCACUAUUUAACAAAUAUUUGUAGAACAUUCAUGAAGUACAAGGCAAAGCACUAAGUUAAAGGGCUGUUAAGCAAAUGAGCAAGAACAACAAAUGCCUGUGAUCCCUAUCCUCAAAGAGCUCAUGGAUACACUAAAAAAUGUUCAGAGGCAUUUAAACCAAAAAUAUGAGAUAAUGUACAAAUAGGUAGCCAUUUAUUGAAUGCUUAAAUGUAUUAGCCUGUUAAAUGCCAACAACUAUUCAUGA
rnacentral:lncRNA from 12 species